GACCUCCGAUCAAGCAAGAGGACCCGCUGAAUUAAGCA
rnacentral:rRNA from 1 species